CCCUUCCCUGGAUCCCUGCCUCACGGAUCCCAGUGUCCUGUGCUCCCUGGUGAUGCCAGCAACACAAGACCAUACGUACGGCAAGGCGUCACUGGCUUGGAAGAUGGCUGAUGAAGUACUUUGCAGAAUGUCUCCAACACUAGAUAAUCUGCAGGAUAAUGAAAACGAAAACAUGGACCACAAAGCGGCAGCAAAUCGUGUCGCCACCAAGUUGCAGAUGCUACUAUGAUUCCAUCCUGACCUCCCUGGGCAGACGCCCUCACCCAUGUGUCCUGGAGCCUCCCCUCCCCAGAGCCCUGCCCCACUAGGGACAGACAGACACAGGCUGGGGGUGUGGAUCCACCUGCCAGCACCCAUGUCCAGCGGAGAAGCAAUGACAGAAGCCACAACUCCCACCUUCUGCUCCCCAUAGAGAAUUUGUGUCCAGACUCCCAGAGGGAUAAAGAACAGGGAAGCUUCCAGUGGAGGGGAUGGGACAGGAACGCUGGUGGUGGGAACUGUGUGGAGUCACAGGCUGAAUCCUUGCUCUCUUAUAAUGGUGUAAAUCAUUAUUAAGUCACUGGUAAUAAAUAGAAUAAAUUUUGA